rnacentral:tRNA from 1 species
GGAGUAUAGCUCAAUUGGUAGAGUGCUUGCCUUGCAUGCAUGAAGCCCUGGGUUCAAUCCCCAGCACCA